AAAUAGGCAUUUAGAAAGUCAAUUUUUUUUCAUUUUUGGCAUUUUUAAGGCACUUUGUGUGGUGAUUCACAGACAGUAAUAGUACUGAUCUUGUCCUUCCACUUAGAGUAUCUGCUCACAGUCCCUUUAGGCCUUCAUUACUCCAUCCAGAUGGUGAGGCCAACCUUGCUGGCCCAAAGCAUCCAGAGCUCUGCCUGUGUGGUUGGGAGAGAGCACGGACCCCUGGACGUGAAGUGAGAAGGCUCCAUCCUGACAGCUGACAAAAAUACAACACAGCUUUGCUGGCUGCAAAAGCCAUCAGAUUUUUUUUUCUCUGGCAGGUUUGUAGCUGUAAUCUCCAGGAUAAUUUUCUGAGUAUAUAUCAGUGAAGAGGACACUGAACGUUCCAAGUGAAUAUCAGAAAAAUUGCAGUUGCUUUUGCAUUCAUGAAGUUGAAGUGAGGAGUAUCAAGUUUGCAGCUUGGCACAGUAGAGGUCCCAUCUCGAUGGCCACUCCAUGAAAUAAGGUUGCAAGUUGGGCUGAUGUACAGCACCGAGGAUGUACUGCGUGGACAGAGGCGCAUACUGUACUUUCCAAUGAAGACAGAAGCUGACGACCCAGCUGACUGCAUGGACUGACGUUACAGGGCUAACUAAUCUUACUAUUUGAAAAAAAAAAGCAGUAGCAGUUUUUCUGGUUUCUGGCAGGUAUUUGUACUUCAACUAAAAGCACUAAAGCAGAUAAAUUAGAGAUUUAAUUUACUGUUGUUUUGUGGGAUCUUGUUGUACACAUACA